UCUGCAAGGACAGUCGGUGUGUGUGUGGGGGGGGAGGAGGGCCCGCGCCUGCACCCCGCCCCCCGCCACCGCUCCCAGCCCACCUCAGACACAUACUUUGGGCUCCCCGGGCCUCGGUGUCCCACAAGGUCUAAACGAGGCAGGAAACCAGCCAGAGGGCCAUCCGGGAAUGGCGGCUGACGCCUAUAAGGGACCUGAGCUCAGGACACAGCAAGUUUCUGAGUGGUCCUGACUCGCGGGGCUGGGAAGCUCAAGAAAAGGAUACGAUCGGCCUAUAACGAGCGUCAGGCUUUAAGGAGAGUAGGUAAAAUAGAUAUAGCACAGAAGCGGACGGAACCUAAGUCUCCGAUGAUUCCACAGCCCCUUCUUCACCUCGCAAGGCCUCCCAGGCCUACCCGAAAAGCCCGCUCCCUCCCCGGGGAAGUUGCUGGUGCGCAGAAAGCAAGGGAUGGGCUUUUACAGAAAAACCGAAAUCUGUUUUUAAAACUCUUGUCCAGUGAUCGUUUGUCAGCACAUCCGGCUGAGUUAGACACCUUGUGGAUGGUGCUGGCGCCCUCCCUCACCCUCUUGCCUUUCCUGGGGGGUGCCCCCAGCCCCCAGCUGCGGCCAGUGCUGGCUGCUGACGCUCACACCUGCCUCCUCUCCAGGGAACCGCCCCCUCCUGUCUGCCUCUUCCCGGCCUGAACGGCCUGCGGCCAGUGACCAGCCAACACGGGCGGGCAAAAGGCGCUCUCUUGCCUCAAGGUGGGCCCACGUGUGCUGGGGCUCAUGCUCUGGAGCUCUCGUGAGACCAGGUGAGUGUCUCCCGCUGAGACUCCCUCUCCGCUGCACUCCCUUCCCCUCUCCUGGGAGGCUUCCUCCAGUAACCCACUUGCACAGAAUCCUUGCCUCAGGCUCUGCUUCUGGUAAACUCAGCCCCAGACACUAGUUAUUCCUAUUGCAGAGUGUUCUGGAAAGCUGACAGGUGAGGCAGCACAGCCUCAAGGAAGGGGAGGGGGGGCAGAAGUCCCGCCCGCAGCCGCAUUGUGUGUAAAAGGCAGAGCGGAGGCUUGAACCCAGUUCUUGGGAUUCCAGAUGCUGGUGGGACACACGUGAAUGGAACCGUGGCUGGGCCCACGUGGCUAAGGAUGCUCCCCCAUCUCUGGGACCUCAGGUGCUGUGUGUACCAGUGUGGUCCCCAGUCUGGGGUCCCAUCCACUGGGAGUCACUUCGGCCUCGGAGUUAAGCUGUCUCCUCCCUAGAGACCAGGUGGGGCUGGGUCCCCCGGCUCCUGGCUGGGGUCUGCAGUCAGCGGGGAACCCACUGGCCUCCUGCCUGUACUGGUCCUGUCCUGUGGGGAUGUCUCCUGAUACACAGAGACAGUGAGAGGCCGAGAGGGGAGACUGUCUCCUUCAAUAAAAGCCACUUAUAUGGAGCUAUGGUGACCUCAGGUCCCUUCCUCGGGGGCCUCAGAGUAAGUUCUCCAGGCCUCUAAACGUCCCCAUUGCUGGCCAGCUCCUGCCCUCCGACCCUGUCCUUGGCUCACGGUGCUUCCUCAGUGCCCAAUCCUCAAACCUUCUGGAAACGGGGACCUUCCGCACCUGGAAGACAAUGACAAAGGCCAGCCGGGCUGCCAGCACGGCCCAGAAGUCCUUGGAGAUGUCAUACUUGUGCUCCGACCACGGGGGCUCCCGGUAGUCCUUGUACCUGCGGAGAUGGCCAGGCAUCAGUGUGGGUCUUCGAGCAGGAACCGGGAUUCCGGCCGGCGCCCUGCGGCCUCAGGAAGGCCUCGGCCAGCUCUGGAGCCACCACCACCGUGGGCGGCCCUCCCUGGCGGAAGAGGCUCCAGACCAGCCGCUCACACGGUGGUCUCAGGACGCUGGGGAGAGAGUGGACCUAAGAGCCAGGGUGGACAUACGGAGAACUUGGCUCACGGUUAUAGAACAAGGUCGAGAAGAACUUGCCACUCCCAUCCACCGCUCGUCCCAACCCCUCAAUACGACCAAGGGACGUGUCUAGACAGGGGAUGCUUCCGCCAGGCUGGGGCCGCACCGGGGUCGGAGGCAGGGACCCCACCCAGCUUCCCUGCGAAGGGCGCCCCGCCGCGUGUCAGCUCGGCCGGGGCCUCCACUCGGCAGACGUCCCCGGCGUCACUUACGUUGAUGAUGACCGCCAGCUUCCCGACACCUCGGAGAAUAUUGUACCAGAUUCCUGGGGGAGGAGAGCAGCGGUUUCAAGACCCCCCCUUGCACCCGGAUCUCAGUGACUCGGGCUUGCCGGCCAGUGGGCCCGCUGUGAUGCAUAUGGCGGCCGGAGCCACCACGGAAGCCUCCCAAGUCCAGUCCCCGCUGAGCGGGAGGACGGGUCACGGACGAAGGGAGUCCCGCUGCUCUCUGCCAUGAGAGCAUCCUCUGGCCUGCUGUUCACUCCUUCACGUGGCCGCCUGGCCCUGCGGGCUCUGGGUUGGAGGCCUCGCAGACGAGGCGCCGGGCCAUGGGUAAGCCUGGCACUCCCCGGGGGAGGCGGACCCACCCGAGCGCAGUGCGGGGAAAGGAGACGGGUGACGGGCCAACGGGCCACAGGAGGCAAGCCUGGGCAAUGGGAGGGUUGAGGAGCCCGGCCCACGGGCCCCAGGAUGUCUCUGUGUGUCUAGACCCGAGAUCCGCUGGGGGACCCCGUGCCGAAAUCACGGGGUCUUGUUCAAGACGAGCAAACCCAGGACGCCAGCCCCGCCCGCAGGGUCAGUCUCUGUCUGCGUCUUGACCGUCCCUCUGAGCUACUCGGCCACACGCGGUAGAGAGCACACGAUGCUCCAGUGAGCUCCAGAUACAAGACGAAAACCUUCCGGCUCCUUGAGAAUCUCGGCGGGGGGCGGGGCGCGGUCUCAGUCUUCAAGGUGUCCCCGCCGCACCGGGGGACGCUAAACCCCAUUUCCGAGAACGAGAUGGGCAGGUGUUCAGUCUCGCCCGACCACACGCGGUGCCCAGGAGCUGAACGCGGGCAGCGGCUGUUCGCCAGGAAGGCUCCAAAGAGCCUGGUGUCACAGGUCAGGGCUGGGAAGCUGGGGCCGGGUUCCCCCUGGCAGGGAGCUGGGUCCCCGCAGCGCCUCCCCUCGGAGCCGCCCCUGGCGCCUGGGCGCAGGCCGUGGGGGCCCCUGGGGCCGCGUGUCCCCUCGGGGCGCACACGGAUCACGGGAGCAACACAGAGGCCUGUUCGAGGAAAGGUUACGGUGAAGGAGCCCAUAAACACCCCGUGAAAACCCGGCAGCUUAUGCCUCCGACCAAGCAGACGGGAACCAGGAAGUGAGCAGCUGACCCGUAAGAACGGGGAGAAAAGGGGAGCCGUGGGCCAAAGAAUGAAGACGGGCGUCCCAGCCUCACUGGCGGCGGGCAGGGAGGGGAGGUGGCCCAGGCGCUCCCUCUCAGCCCGAUGGGUUGGCGAGUUUCAGGACGCGGCCGCAGGGGAAGCACUGACAAGCCAAGGGGCCAAAGCAAACACACACCGCUGUGGGCUCGCCCGGGGCCUUUGGGCGCCUGAGAAUCAGGCCUUUGUCGGGGAGGCCACACUCUUGUCUUUACCGCCACGGGGCUCCCGAAUUCCCAAGGGCUGUCCAGGGAGCGCCUGGCAAGCGGCCCUUUCCUCCUGGGGACUUUGGUGUGCCACGUAAGCUUUUCCAGGCAAAGCCUCUUCUCACGGACGUGCACAGGAACGGGAGACCGGGGCGGGGGUGGGGGGGCGCUGGGGGCUUCCCGUCUCCGGUUCCCGCCCAGCGUUGUUAACUACCUGGCCUCAGUCUCCCCAUCCGGUAGACGGGACUGAGGAUUUCCCCAAGCUUCCUCGAGAGGUUCCUCGGAGGACCUGACACCGAAGGCCCCAGGAAAUGGUCAGGGCCCCUCCCCCAAACCCGGCGUAACCCUCCGGGGUUCAUCCUCAAAGCGUGGCACUGUCUGAGUUGUCCCCAUGGGUGACAGGCGUUUCCCACAAGGAUGAUCCAGGGCCAGGUGCCGGAGAAGCCCCCACGGUUCGGCAAGGUUACGCCUGCCCUGAUGGCGUCCCGCCCUGGUCUCAGGAAAGUGACAACUUGCCUAACAGGCCACUCAAUCUUUGUGUCUUCUGUCACUGAGCACAGACGGGCCGUUCUAACUAAAGUUGUGUGAAACGGGACUUCGAGGCAUCUUUGUGAUUUUCCAUCUCAUUUCAAGAUACAGUGGGACCUUCCUUGCCUUCACCUUGAAAACGGGGUCCUGGUUUAGUUAAGUCGACUCACGUGGAGAGAAUCAUCCUCACGGGUGACACUGUGGUCAGUUCCCACGAUCCCCGCAAGCGCGGCCUCCCGAAACCCUCAGCCUCUCUCCUGCGCCCCCAUGAGGAACCCUUGGUGACUUGGGGUUAACACCCCGUGGGCCCUGACCCCGUAGGCAAGCCAUGCAGUACCCUUCGUGCGUCAGUGGGAGGGGCCCCUUUCCGCCUCCCCUUCCCUGUUUGUGAAUGCUGACUGAAUACACGACACGCUACAGAC